rnacentral:rRNA from 1 species
AGAGUUUGAUCCUGGCUCAGGAUGAACGCUGGCGGUGUGCCUUAAGCAUGCAAGUCGAACGAGAUUUCCGCUUCGGCGGAAUGAAGUGGCGAGCGGGUGAGUACAGCACAGGAAUGUACCCUGAAGUGGGGAAUAAUCCCGCGAAAGCGGGACUAAUACCGCAUAUCGUCUUCGGACGAAAGGACGUAACUGUCUGCUUUAGGAGCAGCCUGUGUGCUAUCAGCUUGUUGGUGGGGUAAAAGCCUACCAAGGCUACGACGGCUAGGGGGUGUGAGAGCAUGACCCCCCACAAGGACACUGAGAUACGGGUCCUACACCUACGGGUGGCAGCAACUGGGAAUCUUGCGCAAUGGGCGAAAGCCUGACGCAGCGACACCGCGUGGAGGAUGAAGGCCUUCGGGUUGUAAACUCCUUUUAUAUGGGAAGAAGACCGGCUUUUGUCGGUUUGACGGUACCAUACGAAUAAGCACCUGCUAACUACGUGCCAGAAGCCUCGGUAAUACGUAGGGUGCAAGCGUUAUCCGGAAUCACUGGGCGUAAAGCGUAUCGUAGGCGGUUAAAUAAGUGUGUGGUGAAAUCUUUCGGCUCAACUGAAAAAUUGCUACACAUACUGUUUAACUAGAGGAUGCUAGAGGAUGCUGGAAUUUUCGGUGGAGGGGUGAAAUCCGUUGAUAUCGAAAAGAACACCAAGGGUGAAGGCAAGCAUCUAGGGCAUAUCUGACGCUGAUGAACGAAAGCUAGGGUAGCAAAAGGGAUUAGAGACCCCUGUAGUCCUAGCCGUAAACACUGUUCACUAGUUGCCCCAUUCAUAAAGAUUAGGUUUUAGCUUUUUAGCUAAUUAGCUAGUUUUUGUGAACGGGGUGACGUAAGCUAACGCGUUAAGUGAACCGCCUGGGGAGUACGGCCGCAAGGCUAAAACUCAAAGGAAUUGACGGGGAGGCGCACAACCAGUGGAGCAUGUGGUUUAAUUCGAUACAAAGCGUUGGACCUCACCUGGGUUUGACAUGUACCUGCACGGUUUCCGAAAGGAUUCCUUCUUCGAGAGUGGUACACAGGUGUUGCAUGGCUGUCGUCAGUUCGUGUCGUGAGACGUCCACUUAAGUGUGGUAACGAACGCAACCCGCAUCCUGUGUUAAAUAUUCACAGGAAACUGCCUCGCAACAAGCGGGGAGGAAGGAGCGGAUGACGUCAAGUCAGCAUGACCCUUACAUCCAGGGCAACACACAUCCUACAAUGGGACCGACAGAGGGUUGCCAAGCCGCGAGGUGGAGCUAAUCCCUUAAAUGGUCUCUCAGUUCGGAUUGCAGGCUGAAAUUCGCCUGCAUGAAGCCGGAAUUGGUAGUAAUCGCGAAUCAGCAGGUCGCGGUGAAUACGUUCUCGCCUCUUGUACACACUGCCCGUCAAGCGAGGAGAGUUGGGGGUACCCGAAGACGUUUGUCCAACCGCAAGGAGGACGGCGUUGAAGGUAAACUCAGCAAUCAGCACUAAGUCGUAACAAGGUA